AAAACAAAGCACAGGAAAACUGCGUAACCUCCCACACAGGCCUAGGGACUUUUUUGUUGUUAUAAUAAAAGUGAACCAAUCUAAUGUUGCCCUCACUACAUUGACAAAAUGCAACAAAGCAUUUUCAAUGGAAGAUAAGCCUCAACUUCUUGCAGCGCUUUCAUGAGGGCAUGAAUGCCACAGAGCUAUGAAUGAGCCGCCAUAUGAGGCAUAUUGAAAACUGUUUUCCCAUUUGGGUACUGGAUUUUGAUAUUCAUUGCGUUUAUACAUCCCAAAUCCCUCAAACUACUUGUUAAUGUGAUUGUGAAUGACUGCAUUAGUCAAACAUCUAUCCACAUACAUACUAACACACACACACACACACACACACACUGACGCACACCAAAAACAAAACUUUGAAAGUCACAUGAGCAGGGAGGAGGCGCACACACUUUUUACACCUCCGCUAUUUUUCCUCUCCUGACAUUAUUUUGUGUGUGUAUGCGUAGGUGUGUAUGUGUGUGUGCGACGUUGACCUUUCUGCAACGUUGCCCCGUAUUCACUGGUUGUCAGCACAGUCUCUGUCCCAGGCCAUCCGUCUCUGCCACCAGUCAGUCCUCCAACCAAUCCUCCACCGUCCCAUUAACACACACACGCACACACACACGCAUACACACAUGGAGCUGGGCAUACUCGUGCGCAUUCUUACAUGUACAAUGCUUGUGUUCACGCAAAUACACUGGCUCUCAUGCAAACAAACACACGCACACGCGCACACACACACACACACACACACACACACACACACACACACACACACACACAUACCCCUACCUAAUCCUCCAUUGUCCCAUUAGCCCAGGAUGAGGGGCUCUGGUCUGCUUUGAGCCCCAGCUAGCCUGGGGGAUCAUUAAGACCUUGCCCUGCACACGCACACUCAUUGGUAGGGGCUGAGGUAACGGGCUUGAGGAGUCCAGGUGGCCUGUUGUUAUUUAUAACAAAGGAAACAGCAGAACCAGCUGACAUCAGGCCCGUACGGACCUGGGACGAGGGGUGUGUAUGUGUGUGCGUGUGUGUGUGUGUGUGUGUGUGUGUGUGUGUGUGUGCGCGCAUUCUUUUUGACAAAUUUCUCUAUUUGUGAGUGUGUGUUUGAGAGAGUUAGGGAGAAAUGACACUGAACAACAACACAAAGGGUCCAUUUGCCCCCAAAAUGCCCACACCCACCCUGAGACAGCAGUCUACCAGGACCACUGGACCAGAUGUCGGCUCUGGAGCGAAAAAAAGAUUGAUUGGUUUAAUUGUCGGCACUUUGCUCUCUGAUGUCUGAAUAUCUAAUGUCAACUUUUAAAGGAUGUCGGCUCUCUCUCCGUCUCUCUCUCAGGUUUUUUCUUCUCCUCAGGCUGACAAAUGUGUCCCAUUUUGUGAUCGCGAGGUGUAUUUGUGUACAGUUCACCCUAAUCUGUUCAACAUCUCCCAGAGAAAGCGUGCACGUCAUUUUUAAGGCUUUUGUAUCAGUCGGUGUGGGCUGUGCUGCUUUGCUACCUUUUUAAACUCCCCUCCCCUCACUUCUGUCUCCCUCUUACUCCUGUUUCUCCGUCAAACCACUUGACAUGAAACAUCUCCACUAUAGACAGAGGUAUGCUAAGUGUGUGGGGUUAACUGAUUGAGCCACAUCUACAGUAGUUCUAUCCUUAACACACACAGAUGUAACACCGUUACAGGACUGUUUAAUCUUUCCAAGACCAGGGAGACACUCUACAAAUCGCAUUUCUUAUCAAGAAGAAAUAUUGUACUUAUUAUAUUACUUCUUAGCAAAUUUGCCAUGGAAAUAACUAAUCAUUAUGAUGUCUAAGGAAAUAGUUUGUAAAUUCAUGCUUAAAUUGAUUUGAAUUGCCAGGAAUAUAAUAGUAAUGAUUAGAAGUUUGUCUGUUAUUUAUUGUUUUAACUAACAACUUUCAGUUAAGUUUAACAAGAGUUUUCUUGAUUUUCAAACGGUCUUCACAAUUUCACUUUACCCUGUUAGGUAGAUACUGUAAAAGUCUCUAAAUUAAAAUUUGGCUUUGAAAAUCCAUGCGGAAUGAAAUGGUGCGAAAUAAAUCCAUGGCAUAAAUACAGCAAGUUCAUUGGAUAUUAUGAAGUCCCAACUUCAAAGACGGGGCUUGACAGGCCAUAUCCGGGACUACAUGGAAAUCACAGUCACCUUACCUACUCGUGCUACAGCUGGCUUUGUUGAGCUCUCUCCAGCGCCUGUCUCACAGAAUGAUUAGUGGCCUGAUUUGUGUCUGUGCGCCAAGUAGAUUGGCUGAUGGGAAUGCCAUUAGCUUGGAAAUAUUUUGACCUGAUGAAAGGUCAGGAGGACACACAAUUCAUUCUGACUUCAGAAUGAACAUAGACUCCACUCUCAGCCAAAGAUGUCAACCUAACCUAAAAGCCAGGAGACUACCAACGUCAGUAGAGCGCAUCAUGAAUAUCUUAGCAAAUAUUGUGCCGAUCCAUCAAUAAGAUAAUCAUUUCACUGGAUAAGUGACUAUCUGCAUUCAACGCCAGAAUAAACAUCAGGGGAUCACCACCCCAUUGUAGUUCAUCCAUAAAGGCCCGGGCACUCUAUUAAGAACUGUCAAGAGUUUUUUUACUGAAAAUCUCCAAUUGUUUUGCCUCAUGGUAGCUCUUUUGAAAAAAAUCAGGGAAAUCGUAUAUGUUACUGGGCUUCUUUGUGAUGGAAACAUGAGGAAUAGAAGAUGCUUAAGGAAAAUCCAUCCAUUAGCUGCAGAUAUAUUGGUAUAUACCAAAGUGCUAAACCAAUUACGUUUCAAUAGCAUUCCUAGAAACACGGCAAGUUCAAAGUGUUUGGCGCUCAGAUUCUACAGGGAGAUUUGUCAUCAAUGGAGAUCUGCCUUGACCAGCAGCAAGAUAAGCCCCCCCGUGGAGUCAGAACCUGGUGGGAGUGUUGGCUGAUGACGCUGAUAGAAUGAUGAGUUGAUGGAGCUGAUGAAGUUGAUGAAGAUUCGGCGAGCUGGGGGGAUGCAAAACGGCCGCAUGAACGUACUGAAGUUGUAGAGUCAAUCAUAUUUAAAGAUACAGCAUCGUUGUGCUUAUUGCAAAGAAAAGACCAGACUAAGACAGCUGAUGUCCUGAUUGACCGCUCCAAGCAAUGACUGCAAGGAAAUAAGUGAGCAUGCGUGAGGAGUGAUUGGCAGACGUAUGAGGAAUAAAUUGAGGGCCUUGGGCAUGCAACAGUACGGUCAGAACUUGCUUUAGAGCUUCAUAAGUUUAGUGUAAAAAAAUGUGUGUUUGUGUGUAUGUGCGGUUGUGUGUGCUGGCAGGAAAGGGUAGACCAAGGAUGGGAGGUGCUUGUCAAGGCCAAAAGCACAUGUUCCCCGCACCAUUCCCCCCACAACUACACGCAGCCACAAUGAAACAUUCACAAACACACACACACACACACAACACACCCAUGCCUUCCUCCCUCCCCUCCACAUCAUGUACCUCUCCACAUCUGUCACUCUGGCACGAGAAAGCAGGAGGGAGAGAAGGAGGGAUAGAGCAAUGGAAGGAUAGGGGGGAGGCACGCAGCAGACAAUUAAUUGUGUGGCCGGUUGGAAGGGCAGAGAGACUGAGGGAGAGACUGGGAAGAAGAGGAAGAGAGAGAGAGAGAAUAAUAAAGUGUCCCGAGUAGGCAUUAAUCUCCCUCACACUGCAGGCGUGUCAGUGGAGACUAGCUGGUGACUAAUGCCACGUUUUGCAUACAGUGGUCACAGACAAGAGCUUUCACGCCUUGGCUGAAACACAAGGAGGUUUUUUUUAACUCCUGCUGCGGCUUUAAAGACAGGCAGACACGUUGGAAGAAAAAGUAACAUUUUCACUAUGUUAAUAUGAAAACCGGUGGUAUUUUAUGUUUAUAUUGCCAUUUCGAUGCCAUUUACUCAGAAAGCCUGCUCAUGCGAUAGCAGUCAAAAAAUGCCAAAACGUGAACACAGCUGAGAAAGCAUGAAGAACGAUCGUUGGAAUGGAUUUCUACGGGCCGAGCAAACGUAUUCCAGCCAGACGUUUGAUGCCAUUUAAUCCUGCUUUGCACUAAAUUCAAAGC
ensembl:lncRNA